UAGCUAGUGGUGGAGCUGGAUUUAAAUCACAUGUAGACUGCAAAGCCCCUGCUCCUGUCUGCCGAGCACGCUGCCUCUGAUGGAAGGAUUUCAAUAUGUGCAGAGAAGGGCAAAGGCACUCUCGAUGAGGGGAGCCCGGUCAUCAAAGGAGUGGGAGUGGUAAUGUUUAAAUGGAAAAGGACUGGCUGGUGGCUGCUUGGUGUAACAAUUGACACAAUGCCAGAAAUAGAGCAGGUGAGCAACAGUGAAAAAACAUGAAAAAGCACUGGCCCUGGACUCAGGAAAUUGGCUGAGACUUUCAUUUCUGCUGCUUGUCAAUUGGAUAAAUGUAAUUUCUUUGAGACUCCAUUUUCUCCCAUUUGGAAUGGUGAUAAUGAUACCUAUUCUGCCCACUUUAUACAUUGGCUGUGAGGAUGGAAGUUUAUCCCUGAAAGGCCAUGUUUUGUCAUCAGAGGCCAUGCAGGGGCAUACAAAUAGAGCAUGGGAGCAUUGAAGAAACCUGAAUAAUAAAGUUGGA